rnacentral:rRNA from 1 species
CCUGCGGAGGGAUCAUUACUGAGUGAGGGCCUUCGGGCUCGACCUCCAACCCUUUGUGAACACAACUUGUUGCUUCGGGGGCGACCCUGCCGUUUCGACGGCGAGCGCCCCCGGAGGCCUUCAAACACUGCAUCUUUGCGUCGGAGUUUAAGUAAAUUAAACAAAACUUUCAACAACGGAUCUCUUGGUUCUGGCAUCGAUGAAGAACGCAGCGAAAUGCGAUAAGUAAUGUGAAUUGCAGAAUUCAGUGAAUCAUCGAAUCUUUGAACGCACAUUGCGCCCUUUGGUAUUCCGAAGGGCAUGCCUGUUCGAGCGUCAUUUCACCACUCAAGCCUAGCUUGGUAUUGGGCGCCGCGGUGUUCCGCGCGCCUCAAAGUCUCCGGCUGAGCUGUCCGUCUCUAAGCGUUGUGAUUUCAUUAAUCGCUUCGGAGUGCGGGCGGUCGCGGCCGUUAAAUCUUU